GGGGUUGUGGCUCAGUGGUAGAGCGCUUGCCUAGCAUGUGUGAGGCACUGGGUUCAAUCCUCAGAACCUCA
rfam:Ictidomys tridecemlineatus contig138596, whole genome shotgun sequence.